rnacentral:rRNA from 1 species
UGGGGAAUAUUGCACAAUGGGCGCAAGCCUGAUGCAGCCAUGCCGCGUGUGUGAAGAAGGCCUUCGGGUUGUAAAGCACUUUCAGCGGGGAGGAAGGCGUUAAGGUUAAUAACCUUGGCGAUUGACGUUACUCGCAGAAGAAGCACCGGCUAACUCCGUGCCAGCAGCCGCGGUAAUACGGAGGGUGCAAGCGUUAAUCGGAAUUACUGGGCGUAAAGCGCACGCAGGCGGUCUGUCAAGUCGGAUGUGAAAUACCCGGGCUCAACGUGGGAACUGCAUUCGAAACUGGCAGGCUAGAGUCUUGUAGAGGGGGGUAGAAUUCCAGGUGUAGCGGUGAAAUGCGUAGAGAUCUGGAGGAAUACCGGUGGCGAAGGCGGCCCCCUGGAGAAAGACUGACGCUCAGGUGCGAAAGCGUGGGGAGCAAACAGG